rnacentral:rRNA from 1 species
GACGAACGCUGGCGGCGUGCUUAACACAUGCAAGUCGAACGGAAAGGCCCUGCUUUUGUGGGGUGCUCGAGUGGCGAACGGGUGAGUAACACGUGAGUAACCUGCCCUUGACUUUGGGAUAACUUCAGGAAACUGGGUUAAUACCUGAUUAGAUUUCCUGCUUGAUGGUGGGGGGUGGGAAAUUUCGGCGGGUUGGGAUGGACUCGUGGCUUAUUAGCUUGUUGGGGGGGGAGGGGCUUACCAAGGCUUUUACGGGUAGCCGGCCUGAGAGGGUGACCGGCCACAUUGGGACUGAGAUACGGCCCAGACUCCUACGGGAGACAGCAGUGGGGAAUAUUGCACAAUGGGCGGAAGCCUGAUGCAGCAACGCAGCGUGCGGGAUGACGGCCUUCGGGUUGUAAACCGCUUUCGCCUGUGACGAAGCGUGAGUGACGGUAAUGGGUAAAGAAGCACCGGCUAACUACGUG